GAGCAACCUAUUCCUUUUGUACACACAAGCCAAUAAUGUUUAACGGUAAAAUGUCUCUUCCACGGGGCCUUAUUCACGUGCAAAUCGUAAUUAUUCUUUCGGCGUAUAUUUUAUCAGUUGACGGGGCCCCACCAGUUCGGAAUUAUUUUAGAGAUGUGUCUGAUAGUGAGCAAUACGUCUUGAGUGGUCAGGAGGAUUCAAGAGAAAACAGUGACAGAAGUUAUGAAAACGAGGUGGAAACAGAUGAACUACCGUCCAUAUAUUUGGACCGACAAGAAAAACGAUUAUACAUAACCCAUGUGGACAAGCCGCUAAUUAGGAAGAUUGAGAUGCUGAUUGAAGAAGAUUUUAAACAUCGGAACAAGAGAGAUGAAAUUAAAAGAAAAUUGUAUAUUUCAGAUGCGGCGCCAUGUUUCUUCAAAAUUUGCAACCUAGGAAAACGCCGAGUUCGCCCUACUAUCAAAUGAAGAUUUCGAACUGCUUAUCAAAAAGUUAUUAUGGAUUUUACUACUUAACAAUUUUGAGAUGUUUUAUUUUUUGAUUGUAUAGUUUUUAAAUGUACGUUUUAAUUAUUGUAAACUAAUAUAUUUAUUGUAUCUAUUUAUUUAAGAUUGUACUGGUAUCUAUUUGAAACAUGUCUUAUGAGGACUUAAUAUUAAAAGCAUAAAUUGUAA